UACAGAGGGGGCGAGCGUUGUUCGGAAUCACUGGGCUUAAAGGGCGUGUAGGCGUCCUGGUAAGUCAGGUGUGGAAGCCCCUAGCUCACCUAGGGAAUAGCACUUGAAACUAUCGGGAUAGAGUUCAGUUAAGGAGGGCGGAAUUCCUGGUGUAGCAGUGAAAUGCGUAGAUAUCAGGAGGAAGGCAUGUGACGAAGGUUGCCCUCUGAACUGUAACUGACGCUAAGGCGCGAAAGCGUGGGGAGCAAACAGG
rnacentral:rRNA from 1 species